rnacentral:rRNA from 1 species
GCAGUCGCAACGGUAACGCGGAGAGCUUGCUCUCUGGCGACGAGNGGCGGAGGGAAGAGAUAAUACUUAGGAAUCUGCCCAGUUAGUGGGGGACAACAUUCGGAAACGGAUGCUAAUACCGCAUACGCACUAAGGUGGAAAGUGGGGGACCUUCGGGCCUCACGCUAUUGGAUGAGCCUAAGUCGGAUUAGCUUGUUGGUGAGGUAAUAGCUCACCAAGGCGACGAUCCGUANCUGGUCUGANAGGACGAUCAGCCACACUGGGACUGAGACACGGCCCAGACUCCUACGGGAGGCAGCAGUGGGGAAUAUUGGACAAUGGGCGCAAGCCUGAUCCAGCAAUGCCGCGUGUGUGAAGAAGGCCUGCGGGUUGUAAAGCACUUUCNGNANAGAAGAAAAGCCUAGGGNUAAUACCCCUGAGUCUUGACGNAACCUACAGAAGAAGCACCGGCUAACUCCGUGCCAGCANCCGCGGCAAUACGGAGGGUGCAAGCGUUAAUCGGAAUUACUGGGCGUAAAGCGCGCGUAGGCGGCUUGGUAAAGUCGGAUGUGAAAGCCCAGGGCUUAACCUUGNAAUUGCAUUCGAUACUGCCUGGCUAGAGUAUGGUAGAGGGAAGUGGAAUU